UCGGGGUUGUUAAAAGCACCUUUCAGCGAGGGAAAGAACCGCCUUAGUGGGUUUAAUACCCCAUUUAGGAAAAGACAUCCACUCGCCAGAGGAAGCACCNGGCUAACUCCCGUCCCAGCAGCCGCGGUAAUACGGAAGGUGCAAGCGUUAAUCGGAAUUACUGGGCGUAAAGCGCGCGUAGGUGGCUUGAUAAGCCGGUUGUGAAAGCCGCGGGCUCAGCCUGGGAACGGCAUCCGGAACUGUCAGGCUAGAGUGCAGGAGAGGAAGGUAGAAUUCCCGGUGUAGCGGUGAAAUGCGUAGAGAUCGGGAGGAAUACCAGUGGCGAAGGCGGCCUUCUGGACUGACACUGACACUGAGGUGCGAAAGCGUGGGUAGCAAACAGGAUUAGAUACCCUGGUAGUCCACGCCGUAAACGAUGUCGACCAGCCGUUGGGUGCCUAGCGCACUUUGUGGCGAAGUUAACGCGAUAAGUCGACCGCCUGGGGAGUACGGCCGCAAGGUUAAAACUCAAAUGAAUUGACGGGGGCCCGCACAAGCGGUGGAGCAUGUGGUUUAAUUCGAUGCAACGCGAAGAACCUUACCUACCCUUGACAUCGACAGAAGCCGAGAGAGAUCUUGGUGUGCCUUCGGGAACUGUCAGACAGGUGCUGCAUGGCUGUCGUCAGCUCGUGUUGUGAAAUGUUGGGUUAAGUCCCGUAACGAGCGCAACCCUUGUCCUUAUUUGCCAGCGCGUAAUGGCGGGAACUCUAAGGAGACUGCCGGUGACAAACCGGAGGAAGGUGGGGACGACGUCAAGUCAUCAUGGCCCUUACGGGUAGGGCUACACACGUGCUACAAUGGCCGGUACAAAGGGCAGCGAGCUCGCGAGAGUCAGCGAAUCCCUUAAAGCCGGUCUCAGUCCGGAUGCGGAGUCUGCAACUCGA
rnacentral:rRNA from 1 species